rnacentral:lncRNA from 1 species
UGUGAGUGGUUCGAUUUUUAGGUUAUAUUCCCGUAAAUAAAACAACUUUCCUUAUUUUCUAAUCAGGUGGUGGUUUAUUAAUACAUAAAACCAAAGGUUUUCCCUUCACAUCCUUCAUAAAAAAUAAAAAAAAAAUAAAAAUACCGAACAUUCUCCUCACGUGUGAAAGUCAAAGCUACGAUAACACCAAGCCAACACUGACAUUGGCAAAUUCACCCUGUGCAAAUUGGCAGGGAGUAAAAGCCAAAG